AGUUGACCCCUUUUUCAGCUACCGAUAAUAAUCACAUGUAUUACAUUUUGGUAUAUAUUUUAUUCUGCAACCACUAGCACAAAGCCUAUAAAUCCACCUAGGCUCUAUGUAAUAUUUGAAAUGCACAAGACAUUCAUUUACAGGAGAGAAGACAAAUGAAUUUUUGUCAGCAACAUGGAAUUACAAUGUUUCUACACUGAAACUGCUGAACAUGAGCUCUGCAUGUCUGCUGCUUCUCUAUUUAUGAGGCUUUAAAACAUUUUGCCAUCCUUUCAAGGAAGAAUACUUCUUCAGUGUUUGAUGUACCAUUCCA